rnacentral:rRNA from 1 species
CGACUACAUGAAGCUGGAAUCGCUAGUAAUCGCGGAUCAGAAUGCCGCGGUGAAUACGUUCCCGGGUCUUGUACACACCGCCCGUCACACCAUGGGAGUCGGAAAUGCCCGAAGUCUGUGACCCAACCUUAGGGAGGGAGCAGCCGAAGGCAGGUCGGAUGACUGGGGUGAAGUCGUAACAAGGUAAC